GCAGAUGUGGCUUCUCUUAGCUGAAUAAUCCGUUAAAGGAAUAAUAAUUUUUAAAAAGGACCUCGGCCUCACCCAACGAGGACAGUGAAGGAGAUCAGCUCUUGAUCCGCCUUUGGUUUGGACUGGCUGAAACGCGGCGGACUGCAACCAGGAUCCUUUAAAGGAGAACAAAAAGAUGAGGAUAUUGUGCGGGGGUUCCGGGACAAAGCGUCUUGGGACGCGCGGAACUCUGGCUCCCCGAUUGGAGAGAUCAACGCUGCCCAACAGUACCCGGCCGGACCUGCGGACCUCUGAGCGAGAGGACCGCAGCAGGAGAGUUCCGGAAGGCUGAUUCCCACAGAUCCUGGUAAGGGACCGCAGCAGCUCUGCCCUGCGGCACGCCCGGCCAGGCUACACCCGGACCCUACACUCAAGGAAAAAGCUUGGAAACGAAAGGAUGCGGGAGAACAAAGAGCCUACGGAGGACGUGGCUGUUAUCUCAUUGUCUGUGACUGGGGGAGCUGCGGUAGGAAGGAUGCGGUGGUCCUUAGCUCAUCGCGUUCCCCAACCCCACACCCUCCCUGCUGUCAGUGCGCACGCACACGCACGCGUCGCCAGCUUUUUCUUUCUCAUCUCUCAUUUUUUUCAUCUCAUCUUCUCCCCAUCCCCUCCCUUUCUUUCCACCUUUCCUUCCUUUCUUCCUCCCUUCCUUUCUCCCAUCCUCCCUCUCUUCCAUCCUUCCUUCCUUUCCAUCCUUCCUUCUUUCUUUCCUUCCUUCCUUCUUUCUUUCCUUCCUUCCUUCUUCCUUCCUCAGGAGAAAGGCCUCUCUCUCCGUGUUCACAGCGGACCUUGAUUUAAAUGUCCAUACAAUUAAGGCACGCGGUGAAUGCCAAGAAUGGGGCUGUCUGAGCACCUUGGGUCCACGAGGGCCUGCCACGGAAGGAUCGACCCAGCACAACGCCCUGGGCAGAUCUCAGCGCUGCAGCUGCAGGCGCCCACAGUACGGGUAGCAGGCUUCUGAGUGCCUCGCAAAGUAGCCCUUAGGGUGGGGAGGUGUGCAGCUACCGACAGAGAGGGGUUUGUGCAGAUGCAAAUAGAAUCUAGGAAGCAAACAACUCAUUCUGUGACAGAAACACGGAUCUAUGCAAGCGGGGGGGUGGUGGUGGUGGCGGCGGCGGCGGCGGCGGCGGCAGAAAAUAGCCUGGGGACGGCUGGAGAGUAAAAUGUGCCCCUCAGCUCUGGGACCCUGCCCAUUGUAGAAGGCCGACACCUUCAUCCCUACCUGUCUUAGUUCCGGAUUUCAAUUUAUUACCCUUAAACAAAUAAUAAUAACCAAGUACCCAUGCGACUGGCAGACUGCCCCAAAGCCUAGACUGCAGCUACCUUGUAUUGUGCUUGGGGUUGCUGGGGUAGUCUUUAGGGGAAGCUGUUUGUCACCCGUUGGUGGAGAGCUGUGGGCAUUUGACAAGCUUAAACAGAUCUCUGGGGUGAGCGAAGGCGAUCGGCAAAUUUGUUCAUGGACAGCGCACAGACUCCAUCAAAACUGACAGCUAGCCCACUGCUCUAAAGCAGGGCCUCCCAGCCUCCUUGGGGCUGUGGCUGAAGUUUCAGGCAGAAAUCCAGAAGCUACAGGAAAAGGAGGCGCAGCCCACCCCCAGCCCCCAGAGUGUGGGCCUCUCCCCAUCGCUCUUAAAACCCCAAGACAGAAGGAAAAUCAGCAUGAGUAAGGUGGAGGCCUAAGGAAAGUCUGUUUUGAAGCAGGCUGUCCAGGAACAGAAAGGGUUAAUCCUCCCUCAUCCUGAAGCACCUGCUUCCCAAAUCAGCCCCCAACAGCAGCAGCUGGUCCUGGAGGCCCCCGACACAGUUCCAUCCCGUCUCCAUCUCAGUGUUCCGCCAACCUGCAGUGGAUGGAUGAUGGCCUGGUGGCCGACCUAAACUCAUUAAUUUUCAGGUGGAGUAAAUGGAGGAGGGGCAGGACCCAGCAGCAGAGGGAGGGAAAGGAGGCCAAGAGCUGGCCUCCUCCUCCCCCCCCCCCCACAACCCACCCCCAGGAAGCAGGCUGUAGCCCUCCCCCCUGCUGUCAUGCCAGAGGCCUGCCUUUGCAAGGCCAAGCCCAUGAAGGAUGUUUAGGAGUUUAAUCUGAUUCCUAACACAGUAAUCAGGGUCUAAAAGAGCAUCCGUUGAAGUUAAUGGAGGACUCUUGUCUCAAAAAGCCUCAGCCUCAUCUAGUCUAGUAAAUUAGUAUUUGAGGGUAUAUCAUAGAUCAGUACCUCUCUGGCCUAGUUUCCUCAAGAGUAUUCAUUAUUUCUUGAGUAUCUACUAUGUGUCCUUCUUUACGAUGAUUUCAACUUCUAAAUUUCCUCACAGAAGAGAAUGUUAGAGCUAGCCAGGCUGAGCUUCAAUUUACCACAUUCCACCUAGGCAUUCCCAGAACCUUCUCCCGCUCUGCAGAAAUAAGCCACCGCCUGCUUACUCUUGCAGGCAGAAAGCUGCAGUGCCCACACCCUGAGGGUGUCUCUGGCUGAGUCCUACCGGACAAGCCAGACUGCUUUCAAGGCAGAAAGGGAAAGACCCAGCCACAAUGGCUGUCCUAAGAGACGCCAUAGCCAUUGCUUCGAGAAAAUCUACCUCCCUUGAAAUAAAAAUUGGCCCUUUCCUGGGGUGCUCCCUCACUUCACAAAUGGGUUAGAAGAGAACGGCUAGUGUGCUGUACCAUUUUGGGGGUACACCCAUUUGCCCCCCCCCCCCCGUGCUCAUUGAGAUGUUAUUUUGCCUUCAAGCAAUGGCCUAAGCAGAUGAUGGCCCAACCCCCCUGGACCACAAAUAUCCCCAUUAGCAAUCCUCUACUCAGUAAUUGCUUCCCCAUGAUUCUUUCAAAUGUCCCCUCGUCCUUCACCGAUAUUUCAUCUUACGUAACCCCCAGAUGCUUCCCCAAGUAAAGUCCUUUUAGGUAGAAACCCAAUAUGCUUUUGCUCUGAGAGCGCAAACCGCAGGCACCAUCCAUAAGGCCUGCCUGGGAUCUGCUACGGAGGAUCUGAGUUGGGAGGGGUGCAUUGUUAUUUUAUUGCUUACGUAAAACUCUUGUUCCAGAAAGUAUUAUUCGUGUGUUAUUGGCGUGUGGGAGUGUUCUGGACUGGCCAGUCUAUGUGAACCAGUGUUCGUAUGUGUCUACCAGAUCCCCUUCCCAGAAGGGGUUUGUAUGUAGGACUCUAAUGACCUGCUCAGCCCCAGGUAUAAGUGCAAACCCCUUUUGUUUCCACCAAAUGAAGAAUCAGAGCCAAGGUCAGCCUGAGCCACCUCCUUCCUCUACAUUCGCUGCCCUUCUCUGCCCAUCAAUAAUUAUGCAGAGAAGCCUUCUGCUCUCUCAAGGCACCUCCUGGAUUCUCAGCAUCAUCUCCCCUGCCUAUUUGAACCUUCUAAUUACAUCUUAUGGCGAAAAUGAAGGGAGGAACUUGCGAUCUAACAGUAGGAUGAGGCUGCCAUAGUUUGAUGGCUGUAUAUGUUUUCUUUUUCCCCUUGGGUUUAUUCACACCCGCUACUGCCUUAGUCCCCACUGGGUACAAUCUCUUGUGUUUCUUAAGGAACCCGGUACUUGGACUAGAUUUAGUAAUGUAUCAAAGGACUAAUUACAAUUGCUAUGUUUCUCUCCCCUGUCAGAGACAGCCCAGAUCUGUCUCAGUGGGAGACUAAUAUGUGGGGAGGGGUGUGUCCCCAGCUAAUAGAUCUCCGAGCACACGUAUUAAGCCAUAGAUUUUUCUCACACAACCGUAUCCAUCACUAAUGUGGAAGGCACUUGACCACAAAAGCAAGUGCACCCAUCCACACCAGCUCUACAAGGAAAUUUUCUCUCCCACUAUUGAACUUACAUAAUACCCACCCCCAUUCCAACCUUAGAGUGCCGUCUGGGGGCAGCUGCAGAAUUCCUGCCUGGGACAGAUGGAGCCUCCCCUUCCUCAGCCACUCUGUGGGUGGUUUCUGAGCCCAUGAGUCAACAUGGGCAGACUGUAGUGUGUGUGUGUGUGUGUGUGUGUGUGUGUGUGUGUGUGUGUGUGUGUGGCUUGGCGGGCUGAUUCACACUGAAGAUAUCAACAGCAGUGUUGAGAAUUAUGGUACCUAAUAAAGAUCUUUUUUUUUCUUUCAA
ensembl:lincRNA Mir124a-1hg Mir124-1 host gene (non-protein coding)